rnacentral:rRNA from 1 species
UACGUAGGGUGCGAGCGUUAAUCGGAAUUACUGGGCGUAAAGCGUGCGCAGGCGGUUAUGUAAGACAGAUGUGAAAUCCCCGGGCUCACCUGGGAACUGCAUUUGUGACUGCAUAGCUAGAGUACGGUAGAGGGGGAUGGAAUUCCGCGUGUAGCAGUGAAAUGCGUAGAUAUGCGGAGGAACACCGAGUGGCGAAGGCAAUCCCCUGGACCUGUACUGACGCUCAUGCACGAAAGGCGUGGGGAGCAAACGAGG